GCCCGGGUGGUGAAAUUGGUAUACACGCUUGCCUUAGGAGCAAGUGCCGCAAGGCAUGAGAGUUCGAGUCUCUCCUCGGGCACAA
rnacentral:tRNA from 1 species